rnacentral:rRNA from 1 species
UACGUAGGGUGCAAGCGUUGUCCGGAAUUAUUGGGCGUAAAGAGCUCGUAGGCGGUCUGUCGCGUCUGCUGUGAAAUCUCAGGGCUUAACCCUGAGCUUGCAGUGGGUACGGGCAGACUAGAGUGCGGUAGGGGAGACUGGAAUUCCUGGUGUAGCGGUGAGAUGCGCAGAUAUCAGGAGGAACACCGGUGGCGAAGGCGGGUCUCUGGGCCGUAACUGACGCUGAGGAGCGAAAGCGUGGGGAGCGAACAGG